rnacentral:rRNA from 1 species
GACCCUGGCUCAGGACGAACGCUGGCGGCGUGCUUAACACAUGCAAGUCGAACGAGAAUCUGUGGAACGAGGAUUUGUCCAAGUGAAGCAGAGGACAGUGGCGGACGGGUGAGUAACGCGUGAGGAACCUGCCUUUCAGAGGGGGACAACAGUUGGAAACGACUGCUAAUACCGCAUAACACAUGGGUGUCGCAUGGCACUGAUGUCAAAGAUUUAUCGCUGAGAGAUGG